AGCGAACGCUGGCGGCAGGCCUAACACAUGCAAGUCGAACGAACUCUUCGGAGUUAGUGGCGGACGGGUGAGUAACACGUGGGAACGUGCCUUUUGGUUCGGAAUAACUCAGGGAAACUUGUGCUAAUACCGAAUGCGCCCUUCGGGGGAAAGAUUUAUCGCCAUUAGAGCGGCCCGCGUCUGAUUAGCUAGUUGGUGAGGUAACGGCUCACCAAGGCGACGAUCAGUAGCUGGUCUGAGAGGAUGACCAGCCACACUGGGACUGAGACACGGCCCAGACUCCUACGGGAGGCAGCAGUGGGGAAUCUUGCGCAAUGGGCGAAAGCCUGACGCAGCCAUGCCGCGUGAAUGAUGAAGGUCUUAGGAUUGUAAAAUUCUCUCACCGGGGACGAUAAUGACGGUACCCGGAGAAGAAGCCCCGGCUAACUUCGUG
rnacentral:rRNA from 1 species